GNGAGUGUGGCUCAGCGGUAGAGCAUNUGCUUAGCAUGCACAAGGUCCUAGGUUUGAGCCCUAGUGUGUGCA
rnacentral:tRNA from 1 species